rnacentral:rRNA from 1 species
UACAGAGGGUGCGAGCGUUAAUCGGAAUUACUGGGCGUAAAGCGCGCGUAGGCGGCUUUGCAAGUCGGGUGUGAAAUCCCCGGGCUUAACCUGGGAACUGCAUUUGUGACUGCAUAGCUAGAGUACGGCAGAGGGGGAUGGAAUUCCGCGUGUAGCAGUGAAAUGCGUAGAUAUGCGGAGGAACACCGAUGGCGAAGGCAAUCCCCUGGGCCUGUACUGACGCUCAUGCACGAAAGCGUGGGGAGCAAACAGG